rnacentral:rRNA from 1 species
UUAGCGGCCGCGAAUUCGCCCUUAGAGUUUGAUCAUGGCUCAGGAUGAACGCUGGCGGCACGCCUAACACAUGCAAGUCGAGCGAGAAUCUUUCAAAUGAUCCUUCGGGUGAAUGAGAGAGAGGAAAGCGGCGGACGGGUGAGUAACGCGUGGGAAACCUGCCCUAUACACAGGGAUAGCCAUUGGAAACGAUGAUUAAUACCUGAUAAGACCACAAUUUCGCAUGAUUUUGUGGUAAAAAUUCCGGUGGUAUGGGAUGGUCCCGCGUCUGAUUAGCUAGUUGGUAAGGUAAUGGCUUACCAAGGCGACGAUCAGUAGCCGGCCUGAGAGGGUGAACGGCCACACUGGAACUGAGACACGGUCCAGACUCCUACGGGAGGCAGCAGUGGGGGAUAUUGCACAAUGGGGGAAACCCCGAUGCAGCGAUGCCGCGUGAAUGAUGAAGGCUUUCGAGUCGUAAAGUUCUGUUCUUAGGGAAGAUAGUGACGGUACCUAAGAAGAAAGUCCCGGCUAAAUACGUGCCAGCAGCCGCGGUAAUACGUAUGGGACGAGCGUUAUCCGGAAUUAUUGGGCGUAAAGAGUUCGUAGGCGGUUUUCUAAGUCAGAAGUGAAAGGCAGUGGCUCAACCAUUGUAAGCUUUUGAAACUGGGAGACUUGAGUGUUGGAGAGGAAAGCGGAAUUCCUAGUGUAGCGGUGAAAUGCGUAGAUAUUAGGAGGAACACCAGUGGCGAAGGCGGCUUUCUGGACAAAUACUGACGCUGAGGAACGAAAGCGUGGGGAGCGAACAGGAUUAGAUACCCUGGUAGUCCACGCCGUAAACGAUGAGUGCUAGGUGUUGGGGUAGCGAUACCUCAGUGCCGCAGCUAACGCAUUAAGCACUCCGCCUGGGGAGUACGGUCGCAAGACUGAAACUCAAAGGAAUUGACGGGGGCCCGCACAAGUAGCGGAGCAUGUGGUUUAAUUCGAAGCAACGCGAAGAACCUUACCAGGUCUUGACAUCCCGGUGACCGGUCCAGAGAUGGAUCUUUCUCUUCGGAGACACCGGUGACAGGUGGUGCAUGGUUGUCGUCAGCUCGUGUCGUGAGAUGUUGGGUUAAGUCCCGCAACGAGCGCAACCCUUAUCUUUAGUUGCCAGCAUUUAGUUGGGCACUCUAGAGAGACUGCCGGUGACAAACCGGAGGAAGGUGGGGAUGACGUCAAAUCAUCAUGCCCCUUAUGACCUGGGCUACACACGUGCUACAAUGGUCGGUACAGAAGGCAGCGAAGGAGCGAUCCGGAGCGAAUCUCAAAAGCCGAUCUCAGUUCGGAUUGCAGGCUGCAACUCGCCUGCAUGAAGCUGGAGUUACUAGUAAUCGCGAAUCAGAAUGUCGCGGUGAAUGCGUUCCCGGGCCUUGUACACACCGCCCGUCACACCACGGGAGUUGGUAAUACCCGAAGUCGCUGGGCUAACCCUUUUAGGGAGGCAGGCGCCGAAGGUAGGAUCGAUGACUGGGGUGAAGUCGUAACAAGGUAAAGGGCGAAUUCGUUUAAACCUGCAGGACUAGUCCCUUU